rnacentral:tRNA from 1 species
GCCUUCAUGGUGUAACGGUAGCACACUCGGCGCAUAUUUGAGAGGCCUAGGUUCGAGUCCCAGGUUCGAGUCCCGGCGAGGGCA